UAUUUUUAGCAAUACCUGUUUUGUUGUCCUACCCUCAUUUUCUAUAUUCUGAUCCUAACUGCUUGGAAAGUAUUAUUGGAUUGAAACCUGAUUUAAGAACUCAUCAGUCUCAUAUAGAUUUACUGACAAAUCUGGGAAUGCCAAUAAAUGUUGCUAUGAAAUUACAAAUAAAUCUAAUUCUGCAAAAUUUUACUAAAAUUAACCACUUUGCAUAUCUUCACAAUGUGACAUAUUUUCCAGUUAUUUGGUUUGAUGAGGU